AGAAAUUCACAUUGCGUUGAUGAUGGACACAAUUUAUGUGCUGGAAAUGACUGCAUUUGUCAGGCCUCGGAGCCGAGACAUCAAGACAGAGCGACCGAGGCCGAGACAUAAGGCUUCAAGGCCGAGGACGCAAAUUCUGGUCCCGAGGCCGUCCUCGGUACACAACACUGAUAGCUAUAGAAUCAGCAUGCUCUCUAUACCCUACAAGAUUGAUAACAAAGACAUAUGUGUUUCAACAAGAAAUAAUUGGUCAACGUAUAUCUGAAUGGGGUAUUGUACAGUACUAUUGAUCAACCAAUGAUACGAGUUGUAUUCUGAGAUUUAAAUCCAUGUUCCUCUUUGACCAAUGUUGUCAAAUAAAAACCUUGCUUUGAGCAUAACAUCCUCAAGGUGGUCUGAAAUUCUAUUAGAAGAAGGUACAUGUACUCUUCUGUGGAAGUUCAUUUUAUGCUUUGACUGCUAUAUCUACAAGUUUUAUUAUCAAUAUACUAGUGUUCUGAAGUUGAUGUGUUAAUAAUCAAAUGUUUUAAUGUUUAUUCUACUUAAAACAUAAUAGAUGGCAGCAGGAGCAAAUGUUGGUCGUGAUGAGGCGUAUACCACCAUCAACAAUGCUGCAAUUGCAGUCACCACCACCACUGCUGCCACCACCAUCAGUGCUACUAAUGCCACCACCACCAAGUCUGCUUCUGCCACUGCCAUCACCAUUGCCACCGCCACUACCAAGACCACUCCUGACACAAAGCCCCCAAGUCCUCAACUGACCAGAUAUUGCAGCUGGAGAAGGAUAGACCAGGAACUUCAAAGCCAGGGCUGCCGGUCUCCUACAAUAAGAAAAAUGCCAAGGGCCCAUCUAAUGAACUUGUUGCAGAAUAUUUGGCCACAGUUGUAGAAAAGCAGAGACUAACAUGCAGCCACAGGUGAGGCUUUGUCCACAUUUCCAGAUAGACACAAGAUAGUAUCAGAAAGCCAUGCCAAAAUCAAUGACUGAAGGGUUUGGAGAGCCAUACAAAGAGCCUAGAAAUGUGAUUUCACCUGUACUUCAAUCACAUGAACAGCAGCAGGAGCAAAAACAGCAGCAACCACACAGGAGAUGUAACGACAGCAUUGACCAACAGCAACAACAACAGCAGCAUAAACAAUUUCUGCAGGAGGUGCAAAAACCACACCGGCAACCUCAACAACAUCAAGAUGUCCAACAACCACUCCGGGAACAUUAACAGCAACCACAACUUCAGCAAGAGUUUCAACAAGCACAUCAGCAAAAACCAACAGCACUUAUGAAAUGAAUUUAAUUGAAACUCAAAAGCCAAUGAGGAAACAUCUUUUACAAAAUGAGACAUCAUUUGUUCAUUCUUUUACAGGAUAAAGGAAAGCUUUUUUGAAAGUGUAAAUUUGCAGGAACACAAUGUAUGUUCCCUCUGUAUCUAUUUAUUGAAAUAAAUUUGACUUUAAAAAGAA